rnacentral:rRNA from 1 species
GGAAUUUUCCGCAAUGGGCGAAAGCCUGACGGAGCAACGCCGCGUGAGGGAUGAAGGCCUCUGGGCUGUAAACCUCUUUUAUCAAGGAAGAAGAUCUGACGGUACUUGAUGAAUAAGCCACGGCUAAUUCCGUGCCAGCAGCCGCGGUAAUACGGGAGUGGCAAGCGUUAUCCGGAAUUAUUGGGCGUAAAGCGUCCGCAGGCGGUCUUGUAAGUCUGUCGUUAAAGCGUGGAGCUUAACUCCAUUUCAGCGAUGGAAACUGUAAGACUAGAGUGUGGUAGGGGCAGAGGGAAUUCCCGGUGUAGCGGUGAAAUGCGUAGAUAUCGGGAAGAACACCAGUGGCGAAGGCGCUCUGCUGGGCCAUAACUGACGCUCAUGGACGAAAGCCAGGGGAGCGAAAGGGAUUAGAUACCCCAGUAGUC